GUAUGGUGCAAGCGUUAUCCGGAUUUACUGGGUGUAAAAGGGAGCGCAGGCGGAAGGCUAAGUCUGAUGUGAAAGCCCGGGGCUCAACCCCGGUACUGCAUUGGAAACUGGUCAUCUAGAGUGUCGGAGGGGUAAGUGGAAUUCCUAGUGUAGCGGUGAAAUGCGUAGAUAUUAGGAAGGACACCAGUGGCGAAGGCGGCUUACUGGACGAUAACUGACGCUGAGGCUCGAAAGCGUGGGGAGCNNACAGGAUUAGAUACCCUGGUAGUCCACGCCGUANACGAUGNAUACUAGGUGUCGGAAANGCAUGGCUUUUCGGUGCCGCCGCNAACGCAUUANGUAUUCCACCUGGGGAGU
rnacentral:rRNA from 1 species